rnacentral:rRNA from 1 species
GAUGAACGCUGGCGGCGUGCCUAAUACAUGCAAGUCGAGCGAACGGACGAGAAGCUUGCUUCUCUGAUGUUAGCGGCGGACGGGUGAGUAACACGUGGAUAACCUACCUAUAAGACUGGGAUAACUUCGGGAAACCGGAGCUAAUACCGGAUAAUAUUUUGAACCGCAUGGUUCAAAAGUGAAAGACGGUCUUGCUGUCACUUAUAGAUGGAUCCGCGCUGCAUUAGCUAGUUGGUAAGGUAACGGCUUACCAAGGCAACGAUGCAUAGCCGACCUGAGAGGGAGGUCGACCACACUGGAACUGAGACACAGUCCAGACUCCUACGGGAGGCAGCAGUAGGGAAUCUUCCGCAAUGGGCGAAAGCCUGACGGAGCAACGCCGCGUGAGUGAUGAAGGUCUUCGGAUCGUAAAACUCUGUUAUUAGGGAAGAACAUAUGUGUAAGUAACUGUGCACAUCUCGACGGUACCUAACCAGAAAGCCACGGCUAACUACGUG